rnacentral:rRNA from 1 species
UACGGAGGGUGCAAGCGUUAUCCGGAUUCACCGGGUUUAAAGGGUGCGUAGGCGGGCAGAUAAGUCAGUGGUGAAAUACCUGAGCUUAACUUGGGAACUGCCAUUGAUACUAUUUGUCUUGAAUGUCGUGGAGGUUAGCGGAAUAUGUCAUGUAGCGGUGAAAUGCUUAGAGAUGACAUAGAACACCUAUUGCGAAGGCAGCUAACUACGCGAAUAUUGACGCUGAGGCACGAAAGCGUGGGGAUCAAACAGG